GAUAGAACGUAGCGAAAUGCGAUAAGUAAUGUGAAUUGCAGAAUUCAGUGAAUCAUCGAAUCUUUGAACGCACAUUGCGCCCCCUGGUAUUCCGGGGGGCAUGCCUGUCCGAGCGUCAUUACAACCCUCAAGCUCAGCUUGGUGUUGGGCCCCGCCGCCCCGGCGGGCCCUAAAGUCAGUGGCGGUGCCGUCCGGCUCCGAGCGUAGUAAUUCUUCUCGCUCUGGAGGUCCGGUCGUGUGCUCGCCAGCAACCCCCAAUUUUUUUCAGGUUGACCUCGGAUCAGGUAGGGAUACCCGCUGAACUUAAGCAUAUCAAUAAGCGGAGGA
rnacentral:misc_RNA from 1 species